rnacentral:tRNA from 1 species
UGCGCCGUAGGAGUUUCGAAAUCCUGACCUAAGUGUUAUGAGCACUUUGCUCUGCCUCUGAGCUAACGGCAC